CAAAACUCACUCAAAUUUUAACUGCAUCUCAAGGCUACAUGAAACUGAUGAAAAAGAACUUUUCUGGGAUUUUUUAGCUCUAUUAUUAUAAUGUGGGACUGAAACUGCACCUUGUAUUUGUAUCAAAUAAUUAGCAGUCCUAGGAAACAAUAAAUUUGUGAAUCCAUAAAACAUCAACUCAAAAGGACUAGAUCUACAUGCUCUCCAUAUCAUACUUUAAAAUGAAUUUGAUCAUGUAAUUUCAAAUUUAUAAAUAGGCAACAACAUUUAUUUGUAUUAUCAUAUUUUAUGGAAGACCUAAUAUAAACUAUUUUGAGAUUUUUAAGAACAUUAUUUCUUCACUUCUGGUAUUUAUCUUGUUCAUGCAGUUAAGCAGCCACAAUAUCAAAGAUGCACACUUCAAAGAAAUCUUAAAGACAAAUCUUAAAUUGACAUAAAAUAGCAUUAUCUCUAAGAAAAAAAAAAGACUUGAACAUUUCCAAACUAGAAAUUUUGGAGCUGUACUGGCUAAAGGAAAGAUUAUUUGACAAGACUGGGAACCUCCUUGAUUUAUACGCAGAGGGAUCAUCCAGAAGAAUUGCAGAGAUGGACACUCACCUACGAGUGGUUCAAAAGGUGGUUCUCAAUUUGCACUGAUAGAUGGGCUGCAUGUGCAGA